AGUUAUUAACGUCCAUUGUUUAACAAAUAACCAAACUUUGACACUCCUGCAGGGACGAAACCGAAGCUUAGCCAAAGGGAACUUGAAUUAAGCUCUGUUUGUAUGCUAAGAAAGUUGUGAGAAAAGAAAAUCAAGGAGCUUAUUCUGCUAAGCCAGUAGAGGGAUAUGGAGCUUACAGUUAUUGCUCAUAAAUCCAUAACCGAAGUUCCUUGUUUGCAUGGAUUCCAAACGGACCUCACUUCUGCUAGUGACUGCUGUUCUCCAGUGAAAUCACAAGCAUUUCACUUAAAUUGUUCGGUCAACUGUAAUUUCAAAACUCAGUCUUAUCUACAAUGGAAGGGAGAUCAUGUUUCAAGAAGAAAUGCAUUGUUGCUACGGUGUAUGGGCCAAGAGAGAAGUGUUUGCAUUGAUAGAGUUAAUGGGGAGGAUCAAGAAUGGAGCUCAGGAAGAUAUGCUUUUGGGGUUGAGAAGAAACUAAGAGAACAAAUGAGUUCAAAGAAAUAUUCAAAUUCUUCAAAUUCUUCUUUAGAUGGAUCUUUUGUUGGAAAUGAUGAAGAAACCAACAAUGAAAUCCUUCAGAAUUUGUGCAGCAAAGGGAAGUUAGUUAAUGCAUCAAGAUUGAUAGAUGUGAUGGCGCGUCGAAACCAAAUUCCCUAUUUCCCUUCAUGCAUAAACUUAAUCAGGGGCCUAAUUAAACUCGAAUCUACAGAAAGAGCUACUAGGGUCCUAAAAAUCAUGGUAAUGUCUGGUGGGAUUCCAGAUAUUAUUACAUACAAUAUGUUGGUUGGAGGCCUCUGCAAGAAGGGACUAUUAAAAACUGCCAUUGAACUCUUGGAUGAAAUGAGCUUGAGUGGCUGCCCUCCUGAUGCAAUUACUUAUAAUACAAUACUGCGCUGCAUGUUUGAUCAUGGUGGUUUUGAUCAGGCUAUUGGAUUUUGGAAGGACCAACUGAGAAAAGGUUGCCCUGCUUAUUUGAUCACCUACACAGUUCUCAUUGAGCUAGUCUGCAAGCACUGUGGGACUGUCCGGGCAAUGGAAGUAUUGGAAGAUAUGGCGAUUGAGGGCUGUUAUCCUGAUAUUGUGACUUACAAUUCUCUGGUUAACUAUACUUGUAAACAGGGGAAAUACGAAGAUACUGCUUUAAUCAUAUAUAAUCUGUUAUCACAUGGGAUGGGGCCAAAUACUGUAACUUACAACACUCUGCUCCAUUCUCUUUGCACCCAUGGAUAUUGGGAUGAAGUAGAUGAGAUCCUCUUGAUCAUGAACAUGACUUCCCAGCCUCCUACUGUUGUUACUUAUAAUAUCUUGAUCAAUGGUUUGUGCAAGUAUGGGCUUCUGGAUCGUGCUAUCAAUUUCUUUGAUCAAAUGGUUUCCCAUAACUGUUUGCCUGACAUCAUCACUUAUAAUACACUGCUGGCUGCUCUUUGUAAAGAGGGAAUGGUAGAUGACGCCUUGCAUUUGCUUCACUCUCUAAAUGAUACCAGAUGUUCUCCUGGUUUGAUCACUUACAAUAUUGUGAUUGAUGGAUUGGCUAAAAAGGGCUGUAUGGAGAAAGCAAUGGGAUUAUAUGGUGAAAUGAUUGAGAGAGGGUUUGCUCCUGAUGAUAUUACUCAUCGUACACUGUUUUGGGGGCUUUUCAGGCUGGAUUUAGUGGAGGACGCUUUGGUGAUACUGAAGGAGAUGAACAAGAGAAACCAGAGGAUUAAAAAUAGUGCUUUCAGGUUUGUGAUCCAUGGAUUAUGUAAAAAAAAGAAGGUGGAUAUUGCAAUACAAGUUCUAGAAAUGAUGGUCUCAAGUCCAUGCAAACCCAAUGAGGAAAUUUAUUCUGCUAUAAUCAAAGGUGUAGGUGCUGCAGGAAUGAUAGAGGAAGCUAAUCAGUUACACCAGAAGUUGACUGAAUUGAAGGUUUUUAGAGAAGAAACCAUGCCACAUUAGUCAGAGUAGAUGCUAUACUUUAAUGCUUUUCAACAUUUCUGAGGGGCUUCUCAUCAGCUUGUUGAUCAGUUACAGUUGUACAGAAUAUUCCAUCACAAGAAGUGGUUCCUCUCGUCCCUCUCUGGAGCUUUGAUGCAGGCCAGAUCCAUUGAAACAUUGGAAGGGCUGCUUGUUCAUCACUGCAUAUGUUUCUGACACUCGAGGUGAAAUCUUCCAGCCAAAUUUCAGUCUCUUGAUAUUUCCCAACCAAAUUUCUGCCACUUGAUAUUUCUUAUACUUGCUGGAACAUCUGCAUGGAACUGUUUGGAGAAUGAUGACUCAACUUUUUCUGGGUCAUGCCCACCUUGGCAGAUUUGUAUGAAAAAUAGACCAAUGAUGAUCCUUAUUUGUUACCACUCAUUAGCCAUUGGGAUGUCUCCUGAAAAAUCGUAUCAGUUUAAACUGUAUUUGGUAGCAUUAUCUUCUCUCUGAAUAGUUGUUCCAGAUGUGAGCAUUUAUGAAAUAAUUUUGUUUCAUUUUUUUUUCAAAAUAUUUUUUGGGAGGAUCUACCAUGCCUGCAAAUGGGCCGCUUUCUGGUGAUUUAUAUUUGCCUUCACAUUGCAUGAACUGAAGAUUAAAUGAGAAAAUGGACUGGGUCAUCAGAGUGAGG